rnacentral:rRNA from 1 species
AGCAGCCGCGGUAAUUCCAGCUCCAAUAGCGUAUAUUAAAGUUGUUGCAGUUAAAAAGCUCGUAGUUGAAUUUCGGGAUUGACGUGACGGUCAUGCCUUAAGGGGUAUGAACUGUUACAGUUGAUUUCUCACCUUCUGGAGAAACUUGAUGUCCUUUAUUGGGUGUCUUGCGGAUCCAGGGCCUUUACCUUAGAAAAAAUUAGAGUGUUUAAAGCAGGCAUUUUUGCUCGAAUACAUUAGCAUGGAAUAAUAGAAUAGGACGGCAUGGUUCUAUUUUGUUGGUUCUAGGAUCACCGUAAUGAUUAAUAGGGAUAGUUGGGGGCAUUAGUAUUCAAUUGUCAGAGGUGAAAUUCUUGGAUUUAUUGAAGACUAACUAC